GUGCUGCAUGACAGGAGAGAAGGUUAGCACUCCCGGACAAGGAUGGAAGAGGCCCGUGGGCCUAACAUGCCUGCAGUUAACAUAUUGCCAGCUACUUCACGGCAUCUAACCACUGCUUUCU
ensembl:snRNA